rnacentral:misc_RNA from 1 species
GGAAGUAAAAGCCGUAACAAGGUUUCCGUAGGUGAACCUGCGGAAGGAUCAUUAUUGUAUAACCGAGGUGCGAGGGCUGUCGCUGACCCGAAAGGUCAUGCACGCCCGAGUGCCCUCACACACAUCCAUCUCACCCCUAUGUGCACCACCGCGUGGGUCCCCCUUUGGCUUGUUCGGAGGGGGGCUUACGUUUUCACACAAACUUUGUAUGCAGUGUAGAAUGUAUUUUUUGUUUUUGCGAUCACGCAAUCAAUACAACUUUCAACAACGGAUCUCUUGGCUCUC